UUUAGGCAUUACCUGUUGACUUGCUACUAUGAAAGAGGAAGAUUUUCACUUUUGCCCCACCAGCCUGCCCCCACCAUCUUGAGUCCCUCAUUCUCAUUCUCCACAUAUAGCUACACCACAAGUUUUGGUUACAUAGAUAUUCAGUGGUUACCUAAAUAUCGAUCAAAGUGAGCCAUGUGCUGUGUUAUGGAUUAUAUUUCUUUUCUUGCAUAACAAGUGUCAAAAAAUUAUGAAAAACUUUCAAAUGGGAAAACAAGAAUUAAUGGCUCACCC
rnacentral:lncRNA from 10 species